CCAGGCGAGUGGAAAAAACAUCGCACCGCGUGAGGUAGAGAAAACGGCAUCGAACCCUAGCCCCAGCCCCACGCCCCUCGCUCCUUCCUCCCUCACCCGCCGCCGCUCCCUCCCACCUCCUCCUCCUCCUCCUUCUCUUCCGCCGCCGCCCUGCUGCUACUCCUCCACCGGCCCGCCUCUUCCUCCUCCCCGCCUUCCCAUCGCUCGCGUGCAGGCCAUCGUGGCCACGCGCUUCGCGGGCGAACCCGACCGGCCCGUCGCUGUUGGCUCGAGCUGCUGGGAAGAGGGAGGAGUCCGGAGACAGGGUUAAGGCGCAGGCCGUGCCUGGUGAGGCGGCGCCGCCGGCCAUGGGAUGCUGGACCUCGGGGAGCCCCAUCCCAGGCCCGCGCCCAAAUUCUUUGGCAGGGGAGGAUAGAUCGACGAUGGCGCAUCACAUAAAGGAAUGGGAGAUCGAGGAGAAGGGAGACGAGGGUGGGUGGUGGCUUGCAGCAUGGGGCGGGCACGUCCAACGAGGGUGGUGUUCUGUGGAUCUGGUGCCCCCUCUCUUUGGCGAACUCCUCCUCAAGUGUUUCAGGUGAAAUGCGGUGAGGAGCAGUGCACACGCAGCCAAUGGAUGGGAUGGUGCUGCUACUGGGAAGUGUAGGACAUCCAUUGGUUGGAGUGGGGGCUCUGUUCUACAAGCUGACCGCUCCGUCAGGAACAAGCAACCAUCUGCGGCCUUGCAAGGGUCGACACCGCCAUUGCCGCCUCAUCUGUCCUUUCCAGAUGCCAUGGUCUCCUCUCCUCUACAGAGACCUCCUCAUCUGCUGCCGAUGGCUGUGAGUUCACGGCUGCUCCGGAGCCCCAACGAGCCAAGGUCAUCUCUGAACCGCAUUUGUUUAAGGGAAAGAUAGAUACAAGAAGAAAUUAGUCUUUGUGUGCAAAUCCGACAAAGAAGAGAAAAGGAAGAAUAUUGAGGAAGAGUUUUGGUGAAGAAGAACAAGGGAAUAGAAAUGAAAAAUUAUAAUUUAAUUACUCUGGCAUCUACAGUGGAAGGAUCGGUUUUUAUGGCAUGCACUACAAAGGAGAGAAGUGGACCAUGUGAACGUAGUACAACAUUGUUGUUGGUUCGCGCAGUCGAGGUCUGCUCAGGAAGACACAGUUCGACCGAACAGCUGUUGUGUUUUCCCAGUUGUUUGCAAAUCCGACGAAAAGGAGCAAAGAAAGAAUAUUGAGGAAUAUUUAGGUAAAGAAGAACAAGUGCAUUUAUGUUGCUUCCUGCAAGGUCAAUGAUAUGGUGCCAGUUGGAAUUCAUAUUCAAGCUAAUACAGUGACUAAAUUUGGCGAGCGAGUGCCUGAUCAUGAUCUGCGGGAGGGUAACGGUUAUUAUAAUAAUUGAGUGUACCCAAUGGAGGCUGCAUUACAUAAUUAAUCGGAGGGUAAGGGCGUCCAUAGUUUUCAUUGAACUACUGCAGUUUCCAACUGAAUUUUCAUUUGCAGAUUCCGAAGCGGAGUUCUAGGUUCUAACCAUGUCGCUUCCAUUUGUUGUAUUCUGAGAAUAAAUCUUGUUCUAUAUCCCUGCAUUGUUAUCCACUGGACUCUAAAACAAAAAUCAAUGUUUGCACAUCCAGACAAGGUAAACUUAUGAUGAGUGGACUCCACAAUAUAAAUUGAGAUUCUAUGUCAGUGGAAGUGAGUCUAUACUCACCGAGGAACAAUUUGAUCUGAUAACUAUGAAAUGUUCUUUGUUGGUUUUGGUUCUAUAAGAUCAAGAUCUAUAAUUAUAUUCACUUUACAUGUUAACAUGUUGUAAAUAAAUUGCUAUCUAAUUGUCAGCAAUAUGUGGGAGCUUUUCCUCACAGUAGGGGUGUGUUGUUGAUGUUUUCUUGAUCUACCAGUGAACUUGUAUCAUGUGGCUAAUAUGUAUAUACAACAAGACUUUAUUUACGUUCGCCCUUUUUGUUCUGUGCGUGCUUGGUGAAUUGCUUACCCGGUGUGUGGCAGAAAAUAGGAAGUCGAGUUUGAUUUCCGUUGUGGCAUUGCAAUAGAUGACCAACCUUUAUGUUAUGUGCUUUAGCUUCUUUUCAAAUUUUAGAGUGACAACCGUUUGACAAAGGGUGAAAUUUUUGGUAGGGCCUAGGUGGAAAGUAUUUGAUUAGUCUUUUCAGAUACUGAACUAUAUUUUUAGUUCUGUUUUGUGCUAAUGAACUACUUUUUAAUCACUUUCUUAUGAACGUAUAAAAUAAAUUACAUUGUAAUGUAUCAUGUUGUAUUACAUGAAAAGGUGUUGAAAAGGACGCAAUCAAUCAAAUAUAUGUAGUAUGAUAUAGGAUCCUUGCUUUAUUGUAUCCAUAUGUUGUAAGGAGAUUAUCUUGUCCAUUCAUUAUUCUUAUUAUUUGUCCUAUUCACAUUAACCGUGAGUAGACUUGGGCCAUUGCAUUUGAUGUUGAUCUUAUUUGCAUAUUAGUCCAAGAACAACAAUUGCUCUUUGUUGUGGCAUUGCUGGAGAAAUACAAGUGUAUAUACCCGUUUCCCACUGUCCAGUCGAGGAGAUCCCUGAGGCAUUUGAUUCUUGUGGGAUUCCCACACAUCUUACAGGAUCAUCAACAAGUGGCUGGGCCUCUACAUUACUCAGAAAAGCUUCCGACAGUCUCUCAUUCAAAAGAAAACAAAUAAGAAAGGAUGCAUUGAUUAUUUUGGGUUGAUCCUAUUUGAAUUUCCAGUGAAAUUCAAACUUGAGACCUUACUCGAGUAUUUAGUUCCAAUGGGAUUAAAUGAAUUUCCCAAAUGCCUCUUUGGGUAUUAGUUGCAUUUUUAUUUGGAUCCUUGUACAUUCAAACAAUUUCUGAUUCAAAAGACAACAACAGGGAGAAGAUAAAAUGAUUAAGCAACACCCAAAUAGUGAUCGCAGCAGAUCUCUCUCUCAUUCUCUUUCCAGUUUGGUUGACCAUUCUUUCUGUUCUUAGGUCUUUGAUCUGCUUUCUUCUUCAACACAAAGCAAACCACGAUCUCCUACACAUUCUUGCUUGCUCCCUGGGGCAACCUUCUCUGUUUUAGAUCCACUCUUUUCGUUCUGGUUUUAACUAUGCUUAUGAUUACCUGUCUUGCCGAAAUUCACUUGCCAUACGCAUGUCUUCUGGUGUGUGCCGACGGAAAUUAUAUUUGCGCAAUCAGAUUAGAGUAGAUAAUUUCCUAACCUUGAUUCCUUAUCGAGUGCUUACUAAAAUAUAUGUACAGUUAUUUCAUUCCAUGCUUACAAUCCACAAAGUUAAUUCUUGUGAUUUACUUAUGCUAUCAAAAUCUGUUUGCUUUCCUAUACCCGUAGGUACCAUUGUAUACCUGAAUCCAUGUGAUUUCAUGUCUCUAUGGUUAUAUUGAUUAUCUUACCUUUGCUAGCCAUGUGUGCCCUCACCUUUGUUCAUCAAUUCGUGCUUAGGUAUGGAUUGGUGAUGUCGAUGCCCAUAGAGCCAUUACCUCAUGCAUGAUGUGUGUUUUGUGUGUGCCAGUUUGCCGGUUAGUGAGUGAUAAUAUUCUGAUGAAUGUUUCAUCAGUGUAGCAAGUGAUCAGCAAUAGACAGCUCUUACUUUUGGAUUGAAGUGCAGAUCUUGCUAAUGAGUUAACUAUUGACUCAUUAAUGCAUUCUUAUGCCCCAAUGCUUCAUUAAGUAUUCUUAUUUCUGCAACAUAAAAUUAUUUCUUCUUCUAUUGUUUUCCUCUAUUUUUAUAGUUAUUAAGAGAACACCACAUGUCACAUGAAUUCUAGACUACUUGUCUACAGUUAACUGGUUAGAAUCAGUUUCUUGAGUUUGCUUGCUUAGCAUGUAAUAUUUCACACUCACUAAUUGUAUUAUUUCACGGUUGGCAAUUGUUAGAACCAGGUCUUGAGUUUGCUUGCUUAAUCGUGUCCCUGUGUAAUUGCUCACCAAGCUCGCCAACGUGAGUUUGUUCCACAUAAUGGAGUUUCUAUGAAUUUUUGUAGUCCAGAAAUUCUUGGAAAUUCUCUUGUUGUUGUUAUAAUGUGGGUGUGUUCGGCUUCCUUCUUCAUUAAAGAUGGCUGCUGUUAAACAAGAGGAGGUAGACACAGCCAAGGAUACCAGCGGUGGCCAAAUUACCCAUGUACUUUAAUGUCCACUUUUCUACGGGUUCCCUUUUGAUGCUGACCACGGUGAACUUCCAAUCACAACUGGAGACGGAACAACCACUGUCACAACCCGCUUUAUCAAGGGAGUUGACAAAAGGGCCACCAUCACUAAAGGCUGGAGCGACUUCUUCCGUCGGACCCACAUGAACGAAGGGCAAGCAUAUGCUUUCGGCUUCAAAUGCACUUCCAAGGGAUUGCACUUGAUUGUCUAUUCAAUAUAAGCAAGCUGCAGGAGCCCCUUUCUAUAUAACAUAGUAUUAGUAUAAAUGCCUACAAAGACAUCUAUGUUUGUCCUCCUUUUCGAUCUUAUGUAAUCCCCUAAGACAGUGCUGUGCAUUUAGCUAUCGAUUAUCCGCUACUUAGACUGCUCUAUUGCAUGCUUUUGAAACAACCAUGAUAAAGGAAAUAUAUGCUCCUUCAAGUUCAUA